rnacentral:rRNA from 1 species
GACGAAGGAUGCAAGCGUUAUCCGGAUUCACUGGGUUUAAAGGGUGCGUAGGCGGAUUUUUAAGUCAGUGGUGAAAUCUCCGGGCUCAACCCGGAAACUGCCAUUGAUACUAUUAGUCUUGAAUUCUGUUGAGGUGGGCGGAAUACAUCAUGUAGCGGUGAAAUGCUUAGAUAUGAUGUAGAACACCGAUUGCGAAGGCAGCUCACUAAGCAGACAUUGACGCUGAGGCACGAAAGCGUGGGGAUCAAACAGG